rnacentral:tRNA from 3 species
CGGGAUGUAGCGCAGUCCGGUAGCGUGCUUGCAUGGGGUGCAAGAGGUCGUGGGUUCGAAUCCCGCCUUCCCGACCA